CCUACGGGAGGCUGCAGUGAGGAAUAUUGGUCAAUGGACGAGAGUCUGAACCAGCCAAGUAGCGUUAAGGAUGACUGCCCUAUGGGUUGUAAACUUCUUUUAUAUGGGAAUAAAAUGUUCCACGUGUGGGAUUUUGUAUGUACCAUAUGACUAAGGAUCGGCUAACUCCGUGCCAGCAGCCGCGGUAAUACGGAGGAUCCGAGCGUUAUCCGGAUGUAUUGUGUUUAAAGGGAGCGUAGGUGGAUUGUUAAGUCAGUUGUGAAAGUUUGCGGCUCAACCGUAAAAUUGCAUUUGAAACUGGCAGUCUUGAGUACAGUAGAGGUGGGCGGAAUUCGUGGUGUAGCGGUGAAAUGCUUAGAUAGCACGAAGAACUCCGAUUGCGAAGGCAGUUCACUGGACUGCAACUGACACUGAGGCUCGAAAGUGUGGGUAUCAAACAGGAUUAGAUACCCGAGUAGUC
rnacentral:rRNA from 1 species